rnacentral:rRNA from 1 species
UACGAAGGGGGCGAGCGUUGUUCGGAUUUACUGGGCGUAAAGGGCGCGCAGGCGGCGCAUUUUGUCAGGCGUGAAAGCCCCGGGCUUAACCUGGGAACCUGCGUUUGAUACGGAUGGGCUAGAGUUCGGGAGAGGAGAGUGGAAUUCCCAGUGUAGAGGUGAAAUGCGCAGAUAUCAGGAGGAACACCGGUGGCGAAGGCGGCUCCACUGGCCCGGUACUGACGCUGAGGAGCGAAAGCCAGGGGAGCAAACGGG